rnacentral:rRNA from 1 species
UACGUAGGGGGCAAGCGUUGUCCGGAAUCAUUGGGCGUAAAGCGCGUGUAGGCGGUUCAGUAAGUCUGCUGUGAAAGUCCAGGGCUCAACCCUGGGAUGCCGGUGGAUACUGCUGGACUAGAGUGCGGAAGAGGCGAGUGGAAUUCCCGGUGUAGCGGUGAAAUGCGUAGAUAUCUGGAGGAACACCGGUGGCGAAGGCGGCAUCCUGGACCAAUAUUGACGCUGAGGAGCGAAAGCCAGGGGAGCAAACGGG